GACGAACGCUGGCGGCGUGCUUAACACAUGCAAGUCGAACGGAAAGGCCCUGCUUUUUUGGGGUUCUCGAGUGGCGAACGGGUGAGUAACACGUGAGUAACCUGCCCUUGACUUUGGGAUAACUUCAGGAAACUGGGGCUAAUACCGGAUCGGAGCUCCUGCUGCAUGGUGGGGGUUGGAAAGUUUCGGCGGGUGGGGAUGGACUCGCGGCUUAUCAGCUUGUUGGUGGGGUAGUGGCUUACCCAGGCUUUGACGGGUAGCCGGCCUGAGAGGGUGACCGGCCACAUUGGGACUGAGAUACGGACCAGACUCCUACGGGAGGCAGCAGGGGGGAAUAUUGCACAAUGGGCGGAAGCCUGAUGCAGCAACGCCGCGUGCGGGAUGAAGGCCUUCGGGUUGUAAACCGCUUUCGCCUGUGACGAAGCGUGAGUGACGGUAAUGGGUAAAGAAGCACCGGCUAACUACGUG
rnacentral:rRNA from 1 species